rnacentral:rRNA from 1 species
UACGUAGGGUGCAAGCGUUAAUCGGAAUUACUGGGCGUAAAGCGUGCGCAGGCGGUUUUGUAAGACAGGCGUGAAAAACCCGGGCACAACCUGGGAAUGGCGCUUGUAAUUGCAAAGCUGGAGUGCGGCAGGGGGGGAUGGAAUUCCGCGUGUAGCAGUGAAAUGCGUAGAUAUGCGGAGGAACCCCGAUGGCGAAGGCAAUCCCCUGGGCCUGCACUGACGCUCAUGCACGAAAGCGUGGGGAGCAAACAGG